CUGAACCAGCCAAGUAGCGUGAAGGAUGACUGCCCUAUGGGUUGUAAACUUCUUUUAUAUGGGAAUAAAGUUUUCCACGUGUGGAAUUUUGUAUGUACCGUAUGAAUAAGGAUCGGCUAACUCCGUGCCAGCGGCCGCGGUAAUACGGAGGAUGCGAGCGUUAUCCGGAUUUAUUGGGUUUAAAGGGAGCGCAGACGGGUCGUUAAGUCAGUUGUGAAAGUUUGCGG
rnacentral:rRNA from 1 species